rnacentral:rRNA from 1 species
AGCAGCCGCCACGGUAAUACAGAGGGUGCGAGCGUUAAUCGGAUUUACUGGGCGUAAAGCGUGCGUAGGCGGCUUUUUAAGUCGGAUGUGAAAUCCCUGAGCUUAACUUAGGAAUUGCAUUCGAUACUGGGAAGCUAGAGUAUGGGAGGAUGGUAGAAUUCCAGGUGUAGCGGUGAAAUGCGUAGAGAUCUGGAGGAAUACCGAUGGCGAAGGCAGCCAUCUGGCCUAAUACUGACGCUGAGGUACGAAAGCAUGGGGAGCAAACAGGAUUAGAUACCCCUGUAGUCCCUGUCUCUUAUACAC